AGAGUUUGAUCAUGGCUCAGAGCGAACGUUAGCGGCAGUAACACAUGCAAGUCGCACGAGAAUCCGGCUUCGGCCGGUAGUAAAGUGGCGGACGGGUGCGUAACACGUGGAUAAUCUGCCCUCUGGCGGGGGACAACAGUCCGAAAGGAUUGCUAAUACCGCAUAAGUCGGCGAGGUCUUCGGAUCUCGCCGGGAAAGGUGGCCUCUUCAUGAAAGCUACCACCGGAGGAUGAGUCCGCGGCCCAUCAGCUAGUUGGCGGGGUAAUGGCCCACCAAGGCUUAGACGGGUAGCUAGUCUGAGAGGAUGAUCAGCCACACUGGGACUGAGACACGGCCCAGACUCCUACGGGAGGCAGCAGUGGGGAAUAUUGGGCAAUGGGCGCAAGCCUGACCCAGCCAUGCCGCGUGAGUGAUGAAGGCCUUCGGGUCGUAAAGCUCUGUGGGGAGGGAAGAAACAGCUUGUGGCUAACAUCCACGAGCCCUGACGGUACCUCCUUAGCAAGCACCGGCUAACUCCGUGCCAGCAGCCGCGGUAAUACGGAGGGUGCAAACGUUGCUCGGAAUCAUUGGGCGUAAAGCGCACGUAGGCGGCUCGUUAAGUCGGAUGUGAAAUCCCUGGGCUCAACCCAGGAAGUGCAUUCGAAACUAGCGAGCUUGAAUAUGGAAGAGGGUCGCGGAAUUCCCGGUGUAGAGGUGAAAUUCGUAGAUAUCGGGAGGAACACCAGUGGCGAAGGCGGCGACCUGGGCCAAUAUUGACGCUGAGGUGCGAAAGCGUGGGGAGCAAACAGGAUUAGAUACCCUAGUAGUCC
rnacentral:rRNA from 1 species